rnacentral:rRNA from 1 species
ACGCACGCUGGCGGCAUGCCUCACACCUGCAAGUCGCACGCGACCUUCGGGCCUAGUGGCGCACGGGUGCGUCACGCGUGGGAACCUGCCCUUAGGUUCGGAAUAACUCCCCGAAAGGGGUGCUAAUACCGGAUAAUGUCUUCGGACCAAAGAUUUAUCGCCUUUGGAUGGGCCCGCGUUGGAUUAGCUAGUUGGUAGGGUAAAAGCCUACCAAGGCGACGAUCCAUAGCUGGUCUGAGAGGAUGAUCAGCCACACUGGGACUGAGACACGGCCCAGACUCCUACGGGAGGCAGCAGUGGGGAAUAUUGGACAAUGGGCGAAAGCCUGAUCCAGCAAUGCCGCGUGAGUGAUGAAGGCCUUAGGGUUGUAAAGCUCUUUUACCCGGGAUGAUAAUGACAGUACCGGGAGAAUAAGCUCCGGCUAACUCCGUG